rnacentral:rRNA from 1 species
CGGAUGGGCAUGCGGCGCAUUAGCUAGUCGGCGGGGUAACGGCCCACCGAGGCGACGAUGCGUAGGGGUUCUGAGAGGAAGGUCCCCCACACUGGUACUGAGACACGGACCAGACUCCUACGGGAGGCAGCAGUGAGGAAUAUUGGUCAAUGGGCGCGAGCCUGAACCAGCCAAGUCGCGUGAGGGAUGACGGUCCUACGGAUUGUAAACCUCUUUUGCCGGGGAGCAAGCGUGCGUUCGUGAACGCGCGUCGAGAGUACCCGGAGAAAAAGCAUCGGCUAACUCCGUGCCAGCAGCCGCGGUAAUACGGAGGAUGCGAGCGUUAUCCGGAUUUAUUGGGUUUAAAGGGUGCGUAGGCGGGAUGCCAAGUCAGCGGUAAAAAUGCGGUGCUCAACGCCGUCGAGCCGUUGAAACUGGCGUUCUUGAGUGGGCGAGAAGUAUGCGGAAUGCGUGGUGUAGCGGUGAAAUGCAUAGAUAUCACGCAGAACUCCGAUUGCGAAGGCAGCAUACCGGCGCCCUACUGACGCUGAGGCACGAAAGCGUGGGUAUCGAACAGGAUUAGAUACCCUGGUAGUCCACGCAGUAAACGAUGAAUGCUAACUGUCCGGCUCGAAUGAGCGCUGG